GCCUCGAUAGUGUAGUGGUCAUCACACCCGACAUGUAACCAGGGGGAUGUGGGUUACAUCCCCGCUCGAGAACA